UACGUAGGGGGCAAGCGUUGUCCGGAAUCAUUGGGCGUAAAGAGCGUGUAGGCGGCCCGGUAAGUCCGCCGUGAAAGUCCAGGGCUCAACCCUGGGAUGCCGGUGGAAACUGUCGGGCUCGAGUCCGGAAGAGGCGAGUGGAAUUCCUGGUGUAGCGGUGAAAUGCGCAGAUAUCAGGAGGAACACCAAUUGCGAAGGCAGCUCGCUGGGACGUUACUGACGCUGAGACGCGAAAGCGUGGGGAGCAAACAGG
rnacentral:rRNA from 1 species